AUCCAACUGACGAGUCCUAAAUAGGACGAAAUGCGCGUUAUCCUGUAU
rfam:Trichobilharzia regenti genome assembly, scaffold: TRE_scaffold0066508